rnacentral:tRNA from 1 species
UUCGAGGAAGAAUUAAGGAAGUUCGCUCGACUUGCGAGUCAAGAAGUGACGGUUCGAUUCCGUCCCUCGAAA